rnacentral:rRNA from 1 species
UACAGAGGUCUCAAGCGUUGUUCGGAUUCAUUGGGCGUAAAGGGUGCGUAGGCGGCGCGGUAAGUCGGGUGUGAAAUCUCGGGGCUUAACUCCGAAACUGCAUUCGAUACUGCCGUGCUUGAGGACUGGAGAGGAGACUGGAAUUUACGGUGUAGCGGUGAAAUGCGUAGAUAUCGUAAGGUAGACCAGUGGCGAAGGCGGGUCUCUGGACAGUUCCUGACGCUGAGGCACGAAGGCCAGGGGAGCAAACGGG